GAUGAACGCUAGCGGGAGGCCUAACACAUGCAAGCCGAGCGGUAUUGUUUCUUCGGAAAUGCGAGAGCGGCGUACGGGUGCGUAACACGUGUGCAACCUGCCUUUAUCUGGGGGAUAGCCUUUCGAAAGGAAGAUUAAUACUCCAUAAUAUAUUGAACGGCAUCGUUUAAUAUUGAAAGCUCCGGCGGAUAGAGAUGGGCACGCGCAAGACUAGCUAGUUGGUGAGGUAACGGCUCACCAAGGCGAUGAUCUUUAGGGGGCCUGAGAGGGUGAUCCCCCACACUGGUACUGAGACACGGACCAGACUCCUACGGGAGGCAGCAGUGAGGAAUAUUGGUCAAUGGGUGCAAGCCUGAACCAGCCAUCCCGUGUGAAGGACGACUGCCCUAUGGGUUGUAAACUUCUUUUGUAUAGGGAUAAACCUACCCUCGAGAGGGUAGCUGAAGGUACUAUACGAAUAAGCACCGGCUAACUCCGUG
rnacentral:rRNA from 1 species